rnacentral:rRNA from 1 species
UAGGCGGCUAUUCAAGUCAGAGGUGAAAGCCCGGGGCUCAACCCCGGAACUGCCUUUGAAACUAGAUAGCUUGAAUCCAGGAGAGGUGAGUGGAAUUCCGAGUGUAGAGGUGAAAUUCGUAGAUAUUCGGAAGAACACCAGUGGCGAAGGCGGCUCACUGGACUGGUAUUGACGCUGAGGUGCGAAAGCGUGGGGAGCAAACAAGAUUAGAUACCCUGGUAGUCCACGCCGCAAACGAUGAUAACUAGCUGUCAGGGCACAUGGUGUUUUGGUGGCGCAGCUAACGCAUUAAGUUAUCCGCCUGGGGAGUACGGUCGCAAGAUUAAAACUCAAAGGAAUUGACGGGGGCCUGCACAAGCGGUGGAGCAUGUGGUUUAAUUCGAAGCAACGCGCAGAACCUUACCAACGUUUGACAUCCCUAUCGCGGAUCGUGGAGACACUUUCCUUCAGUUCGGCUGGAUAGGUGACAGGUGCUGCAUGGCUGUCGUCAGCUCGCGUCGUGAGAUGUUGGGUUAAGUCCCGCAACGAGCGCAACCCUCGCCUUUAGUUGCCAGCAUUUAGUUGGGUACUCUAAAGGAACCGCCGGUGAUAAGCCGGAGGAAGGUGGGGAUGACGUCAAGUCCUCAUGGCCCUUACGCGUUGGGCUACACACGUGCUACAAUGGCGACUACAGUGGGCAGCCACCUCGCGAGAGGGAGCUAAUCUCCAAAAGUCGUCUCAGUUCGGAUCGUUCUCUGCAACUCGAGAGCAUGAAGGCGGAAUCGC